AAAAAAAAGAAAGCCCCACCGAUACUCAGAAUUCGUUCCCCGGAACGAAAACCUAUUUACUCCCUUCAGGACGGCCUCGACGCGGAUAGAACAAAAGUAAUAUAAAUCCCAGGCGCUGCCACUGUUUAUCUUUCGUUUUUUACCGAGGCUUUUCUUAAAUAAACCUUUCGAUACAGAAAAGCGUAAUUUCAGAAACGCGUUUUAUUUAAACGCGGCUUUAACGCGAGGUGCUGAGAGCGCUUAUUUUUUUAAUAGACAGGCAGAGACUAAAGCGAAAGAAGACGUUUUUAAUAUCCGAACAUCACCUUGCCAAGGCUCUGCUGAUUGCAAUCCCUCUCCUUAACAACACUACGGAGAUCUAUUAAAAUGAAACCAGAGAUUAGAAAAUUAAAGCGGAGCUUAUGAAUUCCCUGGGCUUUCUCCAGCGACCGAGAGCGUUCCGUUUUGCUGUUCCGUGCUCUUUUUGUCCUCCAACGCGCACUUUUGCUCAGAACCUCCCCGGAAAAAGGGCUCCUCUCCUCUCUGCUCAGCCGCUGCCUUCGCCAAAAUCUAUUUCUGCCGCUUCGGCCGCGUUCCGCGCUGCCACAGCCCCACGUCCCGUGAAAGCGUUUGUUGGCACUCCGUCCGCUGGGUUUGGGGGUGGCUUUUCGUUGUUGUUGUUUGGGUUGGCUUUUUUUUUUUUUUUUUAGAAGUUCAUUGUUAACAGUUUCCUAGAAAUAGCCUUCCCGUCUGCGAUAAAACGGCAUUGUGCAGCCUCACGUCCCCGGGUCCCUGGCGCCACGAGAGCCCCUUUGAGCCCAACCCAGAGCCCGGAGGAACCCCUCUGCUCUCGGCGGAGAUACCUAUUUCGAGAGGGAAACGUUCACCAAAGUUUUCCCGUUUGUUUUGCUGGCAUUCGGCUCUUCUUGGGAGAGCCCGCACCGACCCCAGAGCCUUCGGGCUCCCACGUGAAGCUUCAGCCCCUCGCAAUUAGCGCGGCCGCUCUCAGAGGAUGUGAACGGCUGAUUGGAGCC
rnacentral:lncRNA from 1 species